UACGUAGGGGGCAAGCGUUGUCCGGAGUUAUUGGGCGUAAAGAGCGUGUAGGCGGCCAGGUAGGUCUGCUGUGAAAACUCGAGGCUCAACCUCGAGACGUCGGCGGAAACCAUCUGGCUAGAGUCCGGAAGAGGAGAGUGGAAUUCCUGGUGUAGCGGUGAAAUGCGCAGAUAUCAGGAAGAACACCCGUGGCGAAGGCGGCUCUCUGGGACGGUACUGACGCUGAGACGCGAAAGCGUGGGGAGCGAACAGG
rnacentral:rRNA from 1 species